rnacentral:rRNA from 1 species
GGCUCAGGAUGAACGCUAGCGGCAGGCUUAACACAUGCAAGUCGAGGGGUAUAGGUUUUCGGACCUAGAGACCGGCGCACGGGUGCGUAACGCGUAUGCAACCUACCUUUCACAGAGGGAUAGCCCAGAGAAAUUUGGAUUAAUACCUCAUAGUAUAUGGACUUCGCAUGGAGAUCAUAUUAAAGUUCCAACGGUGAAAGAUGGGCAUGCGUCCCAUUAGCUAGAUGGUAAGGUAACGGCUUACCAUGGCUACGAUGGGUAGGGGUCCUGAGAGGGAGAUCCCCCACACUGGUACUGAGACACGGACCAGACUCCUACGGGAGGCAGCAGUGAGGAAUAUUGGACAAUGGGCGCAAGCCUGAUCCAGCCAUGCCGCGUGCAGGAUGACGGUCCUAUGGAUUGUAAACUGCUUUUAUACGAGAAGAAACAUCCCGACGUGUCGGGACUUGACGGUAUCGUAAGAAUAAGGAUCGGCUAACUCCGUGCCAGCAGCCGCGGUAAUACGGAGGAUCCAAGCGUUAUCCGGAAUCAUUGGGUUUAAAGGGUCCGUAGGCGGUUUGGUAAGUCAGUGGUGAAAGCCCAUCGCUCAACGGUGGAACGGCCAUUGAUACUGCCAGACUUGAAUUAUUAGGAAGUAACUAGAAUAUGUAGUGUAGCGGUGAAAUGCUUAGAGAUUACAUGGAAUACCAAUUGCGAAGGCAGGUUACUACUAAUGGAUUGACGCUGAUGGACGAAAGCGUGGGUAGCGAACAGGAUUAGAUACCCUGGUAGUCCACGCCGUAAACAAUGGAUACUAGCUGUUGGGAGCAAUUUCAGUGGCUAAGCG